GAUGAACGCUGACGGCAUGCUUAACACAUGCAAGUCUUUGGCGAAGCUGUGCUUGCACAGCCUAGCCAAGUCGGACGGGUGAGUAACGCGUAAGGAACUUGCCCUGCAGUCAGGGAUAACAGACGGAAACGACUGAUAAGACCUGGUAAAGUCAUGCGUACUCAUGUCCAGCCUGAUGAAAAGAGAUGCUGCAGGAGAGCCUUGCGUCCUAUUAGCUUGUUGGUGGGGUAACGGCCCACCAAGGCGAUGAUAGGUAGCCGGCCUGAGAGGGUGGACGGCCACAAGGGGACUGAGAGACGGCCCUUACUACUACGGGAGGCAGCAGUGGGGAAUAUUGGACAAUGGGGGCAACACUGAUGCAGCAAUUCUGUGUGCAAGAUGAAGGUUUUAGGAUUGUAAAGUGCUUUCAGCAGGGAAGAAAAAAAUGACGGUACCUGCAGAAGAAGCGACGGCUAAAUACGUG
rnacentral:rRNA from 1 species